ensembl:lncRNA
GGCUACUUUGUGCAUGGUUUCCCUGUUGUACUACAUAAUUGAUAAGUCGUAUACCUCCACUACACUACUUCGAUACGCAUCAGUAGGGAUUAAGAAGUGAGUAUACUGUACGCAAUGCCCACUGAAAAAACACAAUCAAAUACCUUCAUUGAUACCACAAAACAAAACAGACAAAUAAAGCUUUUUAGUCCAAUUUGGCGACCCUCAUAAAAUCCGACAUAGCACAAGUAUUCCAAAGUAUUAUGUGAAAACAAGCAUAGAAAACAGCAUUGGCAUUAAUUUAACAAAUUUAAAAAAACAAGGCUAGUAUUAUAUUGUCAUUAUUUAGGUGACAACCUGGUUGAUUAAAAAGAUUGGGUUGUUAACACAUUUGUUUUUUAUAUGAAUAAAUGUGGGACACAAAAAAAAGGCAGUGUAGAACAACACCAUCAUGCACCAACCCCAUCAUGCACCAACCCCAUCAUGCACCAACACCAUCAUCCCCCAAAAAUGUAUUUUCCUAUGAAUGAAGUCACACAAAAAUGUGUGUCUUUUCACACAAAUUAAGCCACACAAUAACACACAAAAUCUGCUGAAAUUCUAUUUGUACAUAUUUGCAUGAAUUGAGUGUGAGAUUGUGUUGGGUUUAUACCUGCAUAUACCCUCCACUACACCACUGGACCUUUGUGUUUUACAAAAAGUGCAGUCUCCUACAUGAGUUCACUGGUAUUACGGUUGCUGUCCUUUCAGAAUCACAAACCUGUCACACACUGAAGGCCUAUAGGUUCACCACCGUACUAACCUGUCACACACUGAAGGCCUAUAGGUUCACCAGUGUGCAAACAUGUCUAUAAUAGAUAAGGAUGUUAAGAUAUUAAUGUUCUGAGAAAGGAGUGUAUAUAUUUGGCCAAGCGAAGUGGUUUUAUGCCCUGACUGAAUCAGGGUUGCCAGGUCUGGAUAAAAUUUCUAGCCCAAUGACAUCGGAAAACCCGUCCACAAGGCCUGAAAACUAGCACAAAUAUUUUUUUGCAGCAAAAGAGGACUUGCCACAUUUAUCCAAUAAACACUUUUUCCACUUUUUUUUUGUUUUCAAUUGAAUUAAGAAGGAAUAUUGACUUUAUUUUUUACGACAGACUAAAAAGCUCAAUUAGUUUUUCCAUCAAAAUAAUAAUUAUUGCGAGUUUAAGAACAUAUCACAUGAGAAAAGAUAAAUCUCCCUUAUUAAACUCUCCAGAUAAUUUUCCCUCAAUAGAUUAUUUUGAUUAUGAUUAUGAUUAAGCAAGAAAGCCCAAGGAGGUCAUUCAAAACAAGUUGUCAUUCCACAUCUGAUAUACCAUGGCUUUCAACCAAUCAGCAUUCAGGGCUCAAACCACCCAGUUUAUAAUUGUAGCAUGUGCAUAACUAUAGAUAAAUCCGAAAGGAGAGUUUUUAGUGAUGAAGGUUGGACAGAGCAUCUCAAUCUCUGCGCAAGAAACACUUGGAUGAACUUAAAAAAACAAACGUUAGGCUAUUUUCUGUCAAUUGUGCCGUCAUUUUGUGCCAGAUGUUAAGACUGCAAACAAUUAUAAAUGGUCUAUUUGCGAGAUUGACUUGUUAUUUCAAUAGGCAUAGGCUACUGACUAAAAUCUGGGUUUAUAACUGCAAUUAAACUUUGCUGUGGUUUACUGAGAUAGAUGCAGGUAGUCUAUAGCCCAUGAUAGGCCAACAUGCCAACAUAUCAUUUCUGGGAAAAGUCCACAAUGAAACUGACAUUAAAGAAUGCAGUUUACUUUAAACCACCUCUGAGCAAACUUAUCUAAACAGCUCUAGUGCCCCUAAAGUCGUUUUCCAAUGCUUUGUUGCUGUUCUAGCGUGUUAAUAUAUGUUUUAUGGAAAAGGUGUGCCUCCAUAAUGACCAACCUAAAUAGCCUACCUACAACAGGUAAACAGUGGUCACAAAGUGCACUGGUGCUGCUCUGCCUCCGUGACUCAGCUUACUCUGCUGCAGCACUCUCUCAAAGCACACACGCACCCCUUCGGCCCUCUCCCUCUC